CACUGAGAAGCGAGAUGCUGUCAAAAUAAAAGAAGGAUCUUGGGAUUUUAAGAACUGGCAGAAUGACAAACUUCCCGAACAACUUCCAGAAAAAAAGUUCACUUAAACUUCUCAGACGUACUUCCUCCUACUCACCUCCACUACUAGACUAAUUUCAGAGAUGUGUGAGUGUGUGUGAACCUGCUCUCAUCAGUGAAUAGAACAGGGUGUUCUCUGGCAAAUGCAAAUGGAGCUGCAGGGCUGUGAGCACAGGCCUCACUGCAGGACGUGGGGCCCUCAUGCCACCCUCAUGGAGUCCGUUUCUGACAGUUUGGUCAGAAACAUGCACACCAGUAGCCUGCUGACGGUCAUUUUGGAUGGCUCUGGCAGUGCUCCUCCAGAUUCCAGUCCUGCUAUGGCUCACCCUGUCCAGAUGUCCUCCUGUAAU